CAAUCCAAACAAAGCAUUUCUAUGCCAGUCAGUUGAUAGGAAGCUGUGAUAAGAUGGUUUAUAACUGGUAGCAGGGGAGGGGGGAGGGUUUAGUCUGUUCAGAAAGCCGGUGGACUAAGAAGACUAGUGUCUGAAUUCUGACCAUUUUUCAAACAUGGGAUGCACAACGAGCUUUGACGUGAAGUCGCAGGACCCUCCGACAGACCCUGCAGCUUCUGCUGAUGAGGGGCAGGAGCAAACCGUUGUGGACGAUUUGGAACAUGUUGAGGACACUAAAUCAAACAAACCACAACCUGACUUGCAAGCAGAGAACAUAGAGAAUGCAGCAGAAACAAAGGAAGAGUAGCAGAAUAAGAAUGUAAAGAUGACUUCAGUUUAUGUGCAAGAUGCAACUGGAUACCUCUGCUGUGCCUGCUUUUAAACCUAUUGUGAUUGAUAGGCUGUUUCCAUCCCAUCAUACAGAACUCAAAGAUGAUUCCCAGAGUACUUCCUGAACAAAUGGACUGCAAAGCUCCCUUGGGAAUAAAGCGUUAAUAAAAUAUGAAAUGCAAACAUAGCAGAAUAACUGUUAUAAAAUGUCUAUUUAUAUUUAAUGUACCCUUUGAAAUACAAGAACACAUUAAAUCAAAAUAGAAAAUAUAUUUAAAAUAUGCUGUUAACCUGCAAAACCGACAAAAUCCAAACAAAACAAUAAAAAUACUUAUUUUUUUUUC